rnacentral:rRNA from 1 species
UAUUGGUGUUUCCUGACCAAAACUCGUCGGUAUUCGUAUGGUAUUGANCCGCAUAAAUAUUAUAUUAUGCGUCCAUAUCUGUCACAAGCGAGGUUAAUAAUUAAUAGUACGGACUUAGUGCCGUCGUUGGUAUUAAUCAGCUGUUGGUUGUACAGAAUUCUAGGACUGGCUUAUAUUUAAUAAAAAAAAUACCGGUCAGCGAUGCUAUUGCUUUGGGUACUUUCAGGACCCGUCUUGAAACACGGACCAAGGAGUCUAACAUGUACGCGAGUCAUUGGGAUUUUUAUAAAUUAAACCUAAAGGCGUAAUGAAAGUAAAGGUCGUCCUUGUGUCGACUAAGGGAGGAUGGGCUGUGUGUUUUAUAGAUACAGCUUCGCACUCUCGG